UGCGAGUCUUUGCAGUAAUGCAAGGCAUACGGCUCAGUAACACGUAGUCAACCUACCCUAUGGACGAGAAUAAUCUCGGGAAACUGAGCAUAAUUCUUGAUAGAUCAUAAUGCCUGGAAUGGUUUAUGGUUAAAAUGAUUCGUCGCCAUAGGAUGGGACUGCGGCCUAUCAGCUUGUUGGUGAGGUAAUGGCCCACCAAGGCGAUUACAGGUACGGGCUCUGAGAGGAGAAGCCCGGAGAUGGGUACUGAGACACGGACCCAGGCCCUAUGGGGCGCAGCAGGCGAGAAAACUUUGCAAUGUGCGAAAGCACGACAAGGUUAAUCCGAGUGAUUUCUGCUAAAGAAACCUUUUGCCAGUCAUAAAACCACUGGUGAAUAAGGGGUGGGCAAGUUCUGGUGUCAGCCGCCGCGGUAAAACCAGCACCUCAAGUGGUCAGGAUGAUUAUUGGGCCUAAAGCAUCCGUAGCCGGCUUUGUAAGUUUUCGGUUAAAUCCAUGUGCUCAACACAUGGGCUGCCGAAAAUACUGCAUGGCUAGGGAGUGGGAGAGGUAGACGGUACUCAGUAGGAAGGGGUAAAAUCCUUUGAUCUAUUGAUGACCACCUGUGGCGAAGGCGGUCUACCAGAACACGUCCGACGGUGAGGGAUGAAAGCUGGGGGAGCAAACCGGAUUAGAUACCCGGGUAGUCCCAGCCGUAAACUAUGCAAACUCAGUGAUGCAUUGGCUUGUGGCCAAUGCAGUGUUGCAGGGAAGCCGUUAAGUUUGCCGCCUGGGAAGUACGUACGCAAGUAUGAAACUUAAAGGAUUGGCGGGG
rnacentral:rRNA from 1 species